GAGAAAGAUCAGUCCUCCUGCCCUGUGAGGAGGAGGGAGCUUUUUAAUAGGUCCAAUGUUCCCUCUUUUCAUGUAGAAAUUCUCUUUAGGUAAUCUUCAGAAUUGGUCUGAAGACUAGAGGGUUUUGCAGAAGUGAACAGCCUGGAUGUCCCUGCUUUUAAAAAAAAUUUAUCUGUCCCAUACUGGUGCUGCCUAAGUAAAAAUGAGGAAAGUGAGUCCUACCAACUGUCACAGGGGAAAUCUUUGUUCCUUCCCCAAGAAGGGAGCAAGAAAUGGCUAAAGGCAGCUCUGGGGCAUGAUCAGGGCUCAGAACCAAGCUCAGGACAUCCUCCAAAAGCCGCUCUUAGAUUUGUCCGGAAUUGAGCUGAAAGUGCCGUUCUUGUUGCUGUCCAGGGUGUCUAGUACUGGUCCCAGGGCUGGAAAAGACCAGUCCCUUCUGCAAGUUAGGGGCUUAGCGCCAAAGGGAACAAAGGGCUGGAGGGAGCCAUUCAUCCUUGGCUAGGGAUUAAGGGGCUGUAGGGCACAAGGUGGAGCCAAGCCACUUCUAAUUCUGCACCAUGAAGAUGGCUCAAAGGGAAGACAUGUGCAGAACACAUUUGGGCCUCAGGAACUGGCCAGAGCAACAUGUGUCCUGGCCCAGGCAGGGUGGCCCCAAGUUCCCUGCAGACAGAGAUGCCAAGGGGUCCAAGGGGGUCUCCUAAGGAGGAGAUGAGGACUUCAACUCACUCCAGGCACAAGGGUUAUGCUCUGCUAACGCUGCCGGAAAUGACUUGGAUUAAAUGACAUGAAUCGGGAAGCCAGGGCCAUCAGAAGUGGUUUUGUGAAGAAACACAGGGAAGGUCACCAGGUCACUCUCAUCCCUUCAUUCUCUCUCUCUGAAUACCUGAUAGACUGUAAAAUAGAGCUCACCGAACGCACCAAGUCUGUGUGUACUUUCAGUAUCUAAGGAGUAAACACCCUGUGAAGUGUCAGCUGGGACCAGGAGCAUGAUUGCUACCACUGAGGCCCCCACAGAUCCCCUGUCACUGAUGCCUCCGUCCCCCCGGGGUGCGGAAAACUUCCGUGGAAGGAGCUGUCUAAAGGGAACACGGAGUAAAGAACAUACUAUCCUUGGUCCGAGUUACUCAAAAAUAAAAAAGUUCAAAAAUAUAUAAUGAAUUUCCUGCACAUCAAAAUUUUGUUUGAUUUGUAUACCUUUUGUAAGAGUUAAAAGAAAU
rnacentral:lncRNA from 1 species